AUUGAACGCUGGCGGCAUGCCUAACAUAUGCAAGUCGCACGCGAAAGGGGGCAACCCUGAGUAGAGUGGCGGACGGGUGAGUAACGCGUAGGAAUCUACCUGGUAGUGGGGGACAACCCGGUGAAAACCGGGCUAAUACCGCAUACGAUCCACGGAUGAAAGCAGGGGACCGCAAGGUCUUGCGCUAACAGAUGAGCCUGCGUCGGAUUAGCUAGUUGGUGGGGUAAAGGCCCACCAAGGCGACGAUCCGUAGCUGGUUUGAGAGAACGACCAGCCACACUGGGACUGAGACACGGCCCAGACUCCUACGGGAGGCAGCAGUGGGGAAUAUUGGACAAUGGGGGCAACCCUGAUCCAGCAAUGCCGCGUGUGUGAAGAAGGCCUUCGGGUUGUAAAGCACUUUCGGUGGGGACAAACAAGGUGGAGCUAACAUCUCCGCCUCUGAUGGUACCCAAAGAAGAAGCACCGGCUAACUCUGUGCCAGCAGCCGCCGUAA
rnacentral:rRNA from 1 species